GGCUAUUAAGGAGGUAAUAAUAGUCAGGCCUGCUCACUGACGUUAAUAAGUUUAAGAGCCGCGGUAUACUGACCGUGCAAAGGUAGCAUAAUCAUUAGUUUUUUAAUUGAAAACUUGUAUGAAGGGUUUGACAAAAGAAAUACUGUCUUUAUUUUAAAUAUUGAAUUUAACUUUUAAGUGAGAAGGCUUAAAUUAUUUGAGGGGACGAUAAGACCCUAUAAAGCUUUAUUUAUUAUUUAAAAUUUAUUGAAGUAACAAUUUAAAAAUAUAUUUUAACUAAUUUAUUUUGUUGGGGCGAUAGAGAUAUAAAUUAAAUAACUGUUUAAAAUUUAAACAGCUAUAAUUGGAUGUAAGUAAAUGAUCCUUUAUUAAAGAUUAAAAGAACAAGUUACUUUAGGGAUAACAGCGUAAUUUUCUUUGAGAGUUCUUAUCGAAAAGAAAGUUUGCGACCUCGAUGUUGAAUUAAAAGAUCUUUAUUGUGCAGCAGCUUUAAGAGAAGGUCUGUUCGACCUUUAAAUUUUUACAUGAUU
rnacentral:rRNA from 1 species